GAUGAACGCUGGCGGCGUGCCUAAUACAUGCAAGUCGAGCGAACAGACGAGAGUGCUUGCACUCUCUGACGUUAGCGGCGGACGGGUGAGUAACACGUGGGUAACCUACCUAUAAGACUGGGAUAACUUCGGGAAACCGGAGCUAAUACCGGAUAAUAUUUAGCUUCGCAUGAAGCAAUAGUGAAAGACGGUUCUGCUGUCACUUAUAGAUGGACCCGCGGUGUAUUAGCUAGUUGGUGAGGUAACGGCUCACCAAGGCAACGAUACAUAGCCGACCUGAGAGGGUGAUCGGCCACACUGGGACUGAGACACGGACCAGACUCCUACGGGAGGCAGCAGUAGGGAAUCUUCCGCAAUGGACGAAAGUCUGACGGAGCAAUGCCGCGUGAGUGAAGAAGGUUUUCGGAUCGUAAAACUCUGUUGUAAGGGAAGAACGAGUACGUUAGUAACUGAACGUACCUUGACGGUACCUUACCAGAAAGCCACGGCUAACUACGUG
rnacentral:rRNA from 1 species